rnacentral:rRNA from 1 species
CAGUAGGGAAUAUUGGACAAUGGGCGAAAGCCUGAUCCAGCCAUGCCGCGUGAGUGAUGAAGGCCUUAGGGUUGUAAAGCUCUUUCGCCAGGGACGAUAAUGACGGUACCUGGAUAAGAAGCCCCGGCUAACUUCGUGCCAGCAGCCGCGGUAAUACGAAGGGGGCUAGCGUUGUUCGGAAUUACUGGGCGUAAAGCGUAUGCAGGCGGACUUUUAAGUCGGGGGUGAAAUCCCGAGGCUCAACCUCGGAACUGCCUUCGAUACUGAAAGUCUUGAGUCCGGGAGAGGUGAGUGGAACUGCGAGUGUAGAGGUGAAAUUCGUAGAUAUUCGCAAGAACACCAGUGGCGAAGGCGGCUCACUGGCCCGGUACUGACGCUGAGAUACGAAAGCGUGGGGAGCAAACAGGAUUAGA